CCAGUAUCAUCUCAGUGGAUGUUCCAGAGAAACUGUUUGAAUGUCUGUUCUAGAAAGGUACAUGAAUUUAUCCUGCAAUGAAUACAGAAGCAUAGGAGAUGGAGGACAGGACCUUGACCUGAACAGAUCUGACUCGUACGUGUCAAAGACUGCAUCGCUGAAAGCAUAAUACUGCUCCUGCACUAAGAGUGUGUCUCUUCCAAGGCUUUCAAAACCAUGGCACCAGGUGUGAUUUAAGACCACUUCCAUUAAGAAGCAUGGAACUGGAUUUUUCUUCUUGUAUUUAGUGCUACUGAACUCCUUGCCAUCAGGUAUUAAGAGAGUGUCUAAGAUAUGAAAUGCUACAAACCUGACAGAUGUCUGUGUGAGCCAUAGAGAUAUUUCACACAGGAGAGUGAAGGCGAAGAUGAAUUUGGGACUAAUGGAUCUGAAUAGCUGGUCAAGACAGGGCAGUGAAGAGGAGGACAUGAAGCAAAAAGAUUUAAGACUUAAUGAGACCAAUAAAAAAAAAAAAACAACAGGCUCUAUACCACUGAAAAGCAAUAUUUACUACUUCACUUUCAGAUUUGUACCAAGUUAAUGCCUGUGUUGAUCUGUAACCUCGUCCAGCUGGAAACAAUGGGGAAAAAAAAAUCAGCAACAAAUACAAGAUCUGAAAGAAAAAAAAAGGCAAGAUUUGAAAGAGAGCCUACAUUUAUAAUAGUCAAGGCAGCUUUGAUAGAUGAAGGAAGAGUACUGCCCAGUACUGGAAGGAGAGAAAAAAAAAAAAGACUAACGCGCUAUGGAUUACUGAGAUACUCUACAGUAAAAUAAAAUUAAAACGUACAAUGAAGUUAGUUAUAAAGAGAAAAUUUUAGAAGAUGUUCAUUUUCAUAUUUAGAGAAUGAGAUACAGAAAACAGAAAAAAAAAUCAACUUUUCAUGAAGAGUUGAAAGAAAGAAAAAAGAAGAAAGUGCAUGUCCUUCAAAAAGGAAAUCCUCCAGCAAAUCUGCUAAUGAAGUCCCUGCUCAUUUUGCAUUCUGGAUUUGUCCAAAGAGGUGCUAAAUAUCAGCAGGUAAUGGAGGACGGGAACAAUACUGUUGAGCAACGACAAGCAAGUGAGAUUAAAGCUGAAAAUACUGAUUCUACAAGAACUGCUUGUUCAUGGGAAUGCUGCUGCUACAUGCCAGAAAAU
rnacentral:lncRNA from 7 species